UUAAUUUAGAUUCAUUUGUUUAUUAGCACUUUAGUAAUUGCUCAAAUUCAUGUACUAAGCCCAUUUAAACACUCAAGUAUGUUCAAACUGUUAAAUACGUCAGCUUAUCUUUUUAAUUGUGUCUGUGCUUGAGGAUCAAUUGAUGGGAAAAACCCAGAGCUUUAUCCUAGAAAUACCUCAGAGUUUCUUAUAGCGUUUCUUUAUGAUGUUCAGCAUGUUCAUAUGAUAAUGUUGUGUUUAAUAUUUUCUCGAUGUUGACUUGUGGGUUGUUGGGUUUUCUAGAAUCUAGAUAACCGUCUUGUCCCUUCUUUCUCUCCCAGCAUGCAACACUGCAGAAGCUCUCGUAAAUGUAAGUUUAAUCUGGAACAUGUUAAAAUCACCACCAACCCUUAAUCACGUUGUGUUUUCACCUGUAGUGUGUGUAUUGUGAGUUUCAGAAUGAAUGAGUUGAUGUGUUAUGCAUGUAGAAUGUGUGUUUUUGACAAUGCAUGUGCGCAUUGUUUUGUUUUAUUUUUAUUUUGACUCCGGUUUUUUGCUUCAAGAGAAGCAGUUAUUGAAGGAUAUGGAAUGCAUGAUUGUGAACAUGUGACACCACUACACACACACACACACACACACACACAUAACACAUUGUUUAUUACCACCUCUUUAUAUAAAUGAGAACAUUGCUGGACAUAAAAAUGUAUAUUUUCUUGCAUUGGUUAAGAUCUUUAAUUAUAGAAUUGUUUCUGAAUAAAUGCAAUGAAACCAUCA